UACGUAGGGAGCGAGCGUUGUCCGGAUUUAUUGGGCGUAAAGAGCGCGUAGGCGGCUCGGUAAGCCGGAUGUGAAACCUCCAAGCUCAACUUGGAGCGGCCAUUCGGAACUGCUGUGGCUAGAGUCUGGUAGGGGAACACGGAAUUCCUGGUGUAGCGGUGAAAUGCUUAGAUAUCAGGAGGAACACCAGUGGCGAAGGCGGUGUUCUGGGCCAGUACUGACGCUGAGGCGCGAAAGCGUGGGGAGCGAACAGG
rnacentral:rRNA from 1 species